GGAAGGAAUAAAGCCGUUGUUGCAAGAGGCAGCUAAAGAAGGUGGCUGGUUUCCUUAGUCCUCCCAGCUCUCUCUGGUCUAGCGUGAGAAUCAGCCAGACACUAGGAGCUGCCAUUGUACAUAGGAAGAGGAAACCUGGGAUGCUGAGGGGCACCUAAUCUGAUGAUACGGCUUGGUGACUAGGAAAACAGCAACAGGAAGGGUGAUUUGGUGAGGAACCUCUGCUCAGGAAUGACAGCCUUGGUUUAAAGUUCAGCCCGUGUUCUGGCAGCCGAUCUGAGAGCCCUGACCUGUGAAGCUAUGCUUCCAGUCCCCUACAGAACGGGUGGGCACUUUCCAUGAGCUAUGGGGAAAAUGCUUUUUAAUACUGUGUCUGGUCCCGGGCUGGUAUGAAGGGGAGAUGCAGAUCUCCGCGGGCAACUUGUUGAGGAGUCGCGGAUUUCCUAACAACUGUCCAUGUUAUUAGGAACCAGAGAUGCUGGCAGAUACAGAGCGGAAGUACUGCCCACCCUGUGUAGACAAUACACAGGGAUCCAUUUACAAGCUACUCUCCUGGCACGGGAUUUAGUCCCAUGAUGGUGAAAACUCACUUAUCAUCCAGAGCUGCUAAUACUCUACUGUGAGAAUGACCCAAACUCUUCCCACCUCCCAACACUGCUGCAUUGAAGAACUGAAUUUUGAUGGGACAGAUCACGCUCGAGCCACGCCCCCUUGCAUUUGCUCUUCCUGGAACUCUCCCCUACUGGAAAUAGAGAUGAAGGUUUACCCUCUCCAGGUCUCAGCGUUCAGUGGCCUCAGUCACGAAGUUGCAGCCAGUAAGUUCACAUGUCUUCUCCCCUUCCUUAACCACUUUGAGGGGUCAGCUAGUCCUUCAUUGUGUGGCAAAAACAACUUAGAAAGGGAAAAUUUAUUUUGGCUCAUGGCUACAGAGAUGUCAGUUCAUGGUCAUUGCUUGGUUUCUGGGCAAUGGUGAAGCAGAACAUUAAUGGCAGAGACUGUGUGGUGGAGCAGAACUUCUCCUGCCUGUAACAGAUGGGACACAGAGAGCAAGACAGGAUGACACACUCCCAGGGACCUACCUCCUCCUCCUGGACCACACCUCCUAGUCCCCACCACUUUUAGGAAUGUCAUAAAUCUGAAUCUAUCAUUGUUUGGGCCAGAGUCUUGAGGAUUCAGUAACUUUCCCAAAGCCCCACCUCUGAAUCCUGAAUGGGGGCCAGACCCACAGCACCUGAGUUAUAGAGGAUGUAUCAUAUUCAAACACGAUAUUGUCAUUUCUCUGUGCUGUUUGCAUGCACAUGGUACUUGUGACAACGGGUAAUUGCUUCUGCCUUAGUCAGUGUUCUAUUGCUAUGAGGUGACACUAUGACCACAACAACUCUUAUAAAAGAAAACAUUUGAUUGGAGCUUGUUACAGUUUCAGUGGUUUAUCCAUUAUCGUCACAGAGGGGAGCAUGGGAGCACACAGGCAGACAUGGUGCUGGAGAAGGAGCUGAGAGUCCUAUGUCUAGAUCCACAGGCAGCAGGAAGAGUGAGCCACUGGG